CUACGGGUCGCUCCAGUGGGGAAUAUUGCACAAUGGAGGAAACUCUGAUGCAGCAACGCCGCGUGGAGGAUGACACUUUUCGGAGCGUAAACUCCUUUUAUAUAGGAAGAAGAUGACGGUACUAUAUGAAUAAGCGCCGGCUAACUCCGUGCCAGCAGCCGUGGUAAUACGGAGGGCGCAAGCGUUACUCGGAAUCACUGGGCGUAACGAGCGUGUAGGCGGAUUAAAAAGUCAGAAGUGAAAUCCUAUAGCUUAACUAUAGAACUGCUUCUGAAACUCUUAAUCUAGAAUAUGGGAGAGGUAGAUGGAAUUUCUGGUGUAGGGGUAAAAUCCGUAGAGAUCAGAAGGAAUACCGAUUGCGAAGGCGAUCUACUAGAACAUUAUUGACGCUGAGACGCGAAAGCGUGGGGAGCAAACAGGAUUAGAUACCCCGGUAGUC
rnacentral:rRNA from 1 species